UACGUAGGGGGCAAGCGUUGUCCGGAUUUAUUGGGCGUAAAGAGCGUGUAGGCGGCCAGGGAGGUCCGUUGUGAAAACUCGAGGCUCAACCUCGAGACGCCGAUGGAAACCCCCUGGCUAGAGUCCGGAAGAGGAGAAUGGAAUUCCUGGUGUAGCGGUGAAAUGCGCAGAUAUCAGGAAGAACACCCGUGGCUAAGGCGGUUCUCUAGUACGGUACUGACGCUGAGACUCGAAAGCGUGGGGAGCAAACAGG
rnacentral:rRNA from 1 species